UCCGUAGGUGAACCUGCGGAAGGAUCAUUAGUGAUGGCCCUUAGUGGCUAAAAACUAUAUCCCAAACACCUGUGAACUGUUGAAUCGCGUCUUCGGAUGUGAUUCUUUUACAAACAUUGUGUAAUGAACGUCAUAACAUUAUAAACAAAACAACUUUCAACAACGGAUCUCUUGGCUCUCGCAUCGAUGAAGAACGCAGCGAAAUGCGAUAAGUAAUGUGAAUUGCAGAAUUCAGUGAAUCAUCGAAUCUUUGAACGCAACUUGCGCUCUCUGGUAUUCCGGAGAGCAUGCCUGUUUGAGUGUCAUGAUCUCUCAACCAAUAGGGUUUCUUAUUGGCUUGGAUCUGGGUGUUGCCAGCUUUGUCUGGCUCGCCUUAAAGGAGUUAGCGAGUAAAGCUCUGUCGUCUGGCGUAAUAAGUUUCGCUGGUGUAGACAUGUGUGGCGCACGCUUAUAAUCGCCCUCGGGCAAUUUUUGACUCUGGCCUCAAAUCAGGUAGGACUACCCGCUGAACUUAAGCAUAUCAAUAAGCGGAGGA
rnacentral:rRNA from 1 species